rnacentral:rRNA from 1 species
AUGCUGGUCGACCACUUCGCCGCCGAUCACCAGCGCCCCGCCGUCACGGUCCGUUACGGCCGGUCUUGGAGACUGAGCUUCUCCCUGUCACACGGCUGGCACCUGCUCGUCGAGGAGGAGGACUGCAACGUGUUCCUCGUCUCCCUCCGCCCGCUCGGUGAGGGCACCACCGUGUCAUUGAUGUGCAUCAGGCCGGACGGCGAGGCCGAGACAGGGCCCAGGUUCUGGUGCAAGCUCUCCAUGGAGCGCCGUGGCGGCGACAAAGACUACAACCUAGUCCUCAUGACCUCGCCAGUGAGCAGCAACGCGCUGUCCACGGGCGCAUCGGGGUCGGGCCAGGUAAUGUUCUUGGUGGCGCCCCAGGAGCUGCCCUCCGGCGACACGAUCACACUCAGUGCCCGGAUCGAUUUGAUCCCACCUGCCGCCGUCGGUCCCAAGUCAACUACACCACAGGCUAGGGCGCCGAGGAGGAUGCAUGAAGCUGGACCCGAUGCUCAAAGAACCCUAAAAUUCAAACCGAAGGUGAUAAUGUGGACAAAGUCACAUUUCAAAGAGUCUUCAGAGACGGGCCAAGUUGUAUGUUAUUGUGUAUCAAACUGGGGACAGAGGAUCAUCCUUCUUUCAAAGUUUGUAUUCAUGGUUCACAUAAAUCGUGCGAUGGAGAACGGCGGCGAGCCGAGCAACAAGAAAUCGAGGUUGCAGGAGGAGGAGCCCAUGGCGGUGAAGCAGGAAGGGCUAGAGAGGAGGCAGAGCCAAGGCGGCGAAGGUGCGCUGUUGGCGGUGGAGGACGAAGCCAUGCAGGUUCCAUGGGUGGCCGCGGAGGUGAACCCGCUCUUCUAUCUCUGCUUUGCAUGCCAACUCCCACUCAGGCCUCCUGUGCACCAGUGCGAGGGCGGCCACAGGGUGUGCGGCAGGUGCCAUGGCGACCGCUGCACGUCGUGCGACCCGCCGACGGCCUACAUUCCCUUCCCCUUCAUGGACGACGCGCUGCGCGCCGUGCAGCUGCCGUGCUGCUACAAGGCGGACGGCUGCGGGAGGAAGCUGAUGUACCACGAGGCCGCCGACCACGCGCUGCAGUGCGCCUUCGCGCCCUGCCACUGCCCGGGGCACGGCUGCAGCAUGUGGGCCUCCCCGCCGGCCCUCCUCGACCACAUCGCCGCCGCCCACUCCUGGCCCGUCACGGAGGUCAGCUACGGGACCCCGUUCAGGAUCGCCGUGCCGCCUCCGUGGCGCGGCGGCGGCACGCACCUCCUCGUCGAGCGGAACGACCCGCGCCUGUUCCUCGUCACCCUGUCCGAGUUCGGCGAGGCCACCGCUGUGUCGGUGGUGUGCGUGCGGGAGGGCACGGCGGCGGCGGCGCCCCGCUUCAGGUCCACGGUCUGGGCUGAGGUUGCCAGCAACACGGAGGAGAAUUUGUUUCGUCGUCUGUCCACGGUGCCGAGCAGCAGCAGCGGCAAUCUUCCCGGUGAAAGGCCGCCGGUGUGCCUGCUGGUGCCACCGGACUUUGGGAGCGAGAGCGAAGACCUCUUCCUCGGUGUUCGCAUUGACAAGCUCUGA